GCAUAAGUAGCUCAGUAAGAGCACCGGUCUUGUAAGCCGGAGGCCGGAGACUAAACCCCUCCCUACUGCUC
rnacentral:tRNA from 1 species